GAUGAACGCUGGCGGCGUGCCUAAUACAUGCAAGUCGAGCGAACAGACGAGGAGCUUGCUCCUCUGACGUUAGCGGCGGACGGGUGAGUAACACGUGGAUAACCUACCUAUAAGACUGGGAUAACUUCGGGAAACCGGAGCUAAUACCGGAUAAUAUAUUGAACCGCAUGGUUCAAUAGUGAAAGACGGUUUUGCUGUCACUUAUAGAUGGAUCCGCGCCGCAUUAGCUAGUUGGUAAGGUAACGGCUUACCAAGGCAACGAUGCGUAGCCGACCUGAGAGGGGGAUCGGCCACACUGGAACUGAGACCCGGUCCAGACUCCUACGGGAGGCAGCAGUAGGGAAUCUUCCGCAAUGGGCGAAAGCCUGACGGAGCAACGCCGCGUGAGUGAUGAAGGUCUUCGGAUCGUAAAACUCUGUUAUUAGGGAAGAACAAAUGUGUAAGUAACUAUGCACGUCUUGACGGUACCUAAUCAGAAAGCCACGGCUAACUACGUG
rnacentral:rRNA from 1 species